rnacentral:misc_RNA from 1 species
GUUUAAUUGUCAAGAAUUUGCAGGAAAUGAAUACAUGCAAGGGAUCUUAUCAUCUUACUUAUAAAUAGGAAAGGGACAAAGCAUCAACUUGCCAAUCAAAUUGUUUUUGGGGUUGGGGCAGGCGGUGCAACAAAAGACAACUGACCUUUGAUUGUUCUCCUCUUCCUAAAUCCAAAAUCCUUUAUACUGAUGCUUUUAUCAAGGAAUCAGAUUAUUGUAGGUCUUCUCAAAUACAAUUUGAAAAUGUCAUUACU